rnacentral:rRNA from 1 species
UCUAGGGGAUAAAUUAAUUCCCUAAAGGUACCAGAUCCCACCAGAUCUUGGAAGCUAAGCAGGAUCAGGUCUGGUUGGUACUUGGAUAGGAGAUUUUCUAUUAAUACCAGGAGCUGUAGGGU